CGGACGGGUGAGUAACACGUGGGUAACCUACCUAUAAGACUGGGACAACUUGGGAAACCGGAGCUAAUACCGGAUAAGAUAUCGAACCGCAUGGUUCGAUAGUGAAAGANGGUUUUGCUAUCACUUAUAGAUGGACCCGCGCCGUAUUAGCUAGUUGGUGAGGUAACGGCUCACCAAGGCAACGAUACGUAGCCGACCUGAGAGGGUGAUCGGCCACACUGGAACUGAGACACGGUCCAGACUCCUACGGAGGCAGCAGCA
rnacentral:rRNA from 1 species